rnacentral:tRNA from 1 species
AGGAUAAUAGUUAAUAAUAACAUUUAAUUUGCAAUUAAAAAUAAUUGAUCAUCAAUUUAUCUUA